rnacentral:lncRNA from 14 species
AUUGCAAGCUUAUGACUGCUGAGACCAGAAUCAUGCAGAUGGUGGUGUCCUGCUGCCUGUGAAAAGCGAAGCUACAUGGACAAUGCUUUCCAGGCUGCCCAGGCCCACCACGGUGGUCUGAGGAAAUACCAGAGGGAACAUCACAGCACCAUACUUGUGUGCCUCCAUGGAAAAAUAACCUGUCACCAAAAAAAGGAAAAAGGCUCCACAGUGGUUACUGCCAAAUGCCACUAACCUGCUACCCACAGAAAUCUACACCAUGGAAUGACAACACAUCAGUGUUUCCAGAUGCUGUGGGAGAUGAUCAAUGUAGGCCAGACCCAGAGAGAUUCCACGCACCACUGACUGCAAACACAUCUCUGGAGCAGCUCAGAUACACUGCACUGCUAGAGCUGAAGACAGAUGAUUACGAGCCACACAGAGAGACUGUGAUGACUACACACCCCACCAAGUGACCAAGAUGAAGGCUACAGUCUUUCAGACUGACAUUAUAAGAAGAAAGUGCUAGAAAAAAUAGUCAUGGAUUCAGCAUGUGUAAUGAUGGCCUCCAUAACUUCCAUCCAUUAACCCCUAUCCUACAUCCUUUGCUGCAGUUCUGGAAGUUCACACUUUAGUGCCAUGUCAUGGGUCCUUUUUAGUUCCUCAACUCAGGAUUCUACCUGGAGACAGGAGGGUGCAGCAAAAACCAGACGUAUGCCAG